CACGUGACCACGUUCCAAUUCCGGCCAGAUAUGCCGCGCCACCGCCCGAUCUGCAACGCCGGCAGCCUCAACGCCUGCAGAAUACCAACCGGUCGAAGGAUUGAAUCCAGGCUACCCGCAACCGGUGACUUGCCAGAGUCACGAUGACGGCCGAAUCUGAAGAUGAGCUGAUGAGGAUGAGCUGAAUGUACGUGAGCCUGCCCUUGCGAAUGCAGAAGCAAAUGAAGCAGUAGCUGCAGGAAUGGACGCCUUGCUGCCAUGUUGUGCUUGUUUCUUCCUGUGCUGCAAAGUAUAAAGUGAAAUACCUGAAAUAAUCACCAUGUUGUGCUUCCAUUUCUUAGAUACAUGUGCCCCAUUUUCUCUAUUUGGUCUAUAUGGUCAUGACCGAAGACCGGACCGAAAAGACCGAAGACCGAAUACAGAAAGACCGAAAAAACCGAAGGUAUUUUGGGUAGCA